UCCAGCAAUACGUGUCGGAAUGGU
rnacentral:siRNA from 1 species